rnacentral:rRNA from 1 species
UUGAGAAUAAAGAUUUAUCGGUAAAGGAUGGGGAUGCGUUCCAUUAGAUAGUAGGCGGGUAACGGCCCGACCUAGUCGACGAUGGAUAGGGGUUCGUGAGAGGAAGGUCCCCACAUUGGAACUGAGACACGGUCCAAACUCCUACGGGAGGCAGCAGUGAGGAAUAUUGGUCAAUGGACGAGAGUCUGAACCAGCCAAGUAGCGUNAGGAGUGAAGGUACGUCGGAAUGUAACUACUUUAUUACGGAGUAAAGAAGUCGUGGAGGGCGAAGGACGCAACAGGGAGUAAGG